AUUGAACGCUGGCGGAAUGCUUUACACAUGCAAGUCGAACGGUAGAGGGGGCAACCCCUUGAGAGUGGCGAACGGGUGAGUAAUAUAUCGGAACGUGCCCAGUCGUGGGGAUAACGUAGCGAAAGUUACGCUAAUACCGCAUACGAUCUAAGGAUGAAAGCGGGGGAUCGCAAGACCUCGCGCGAUUGGAGCGGCCGAUAUCAGAUUAGGUAGUUGGUGAGGUAAAGGCUCACCAAGCCAACGAUCUGUAGCUGGUCUGAGAGGACGACCAGCCACACUGGAACUGAGACACGGUCCAGACUCCUACGGGAGGCAGCAGUGGGGAAUUUUGGACAAUGGACGCAAGUCUGAUCCAGCCAUUCCGCGUGCAGGAUGAAGGCCCUCGGUUGUAAACUGCUUUUGUACGGAACGAAAAGGUUUCUAUUAAUACUAGGAGCUCAUGACGGUACCGUAAGAAUAAGCACCGGCUAACUAACGUGCCAGCAGCCGCGGU
rnacentral:rRNA from 1 species